GCCGCUCUCGCUUGCCGGCUCUCAUUCCUGCCCAGCCCCGUCUCCCCCCAUCAUGACACAAACACUGGAGGAAGUCCUCGAAUCUGCCCCAGUGUCCCUCCACUGAGCCAUUUCCACAUGGCAGGACCGGUGAUGGCUGGGGACAGCUUACUCCUUCCCCACACCCUCCUGCCGCCCCUCAGCCGACGGGCAUGUCCCUGACGCCGUCAAGGGCAGCAGCGUCCCUGGGCUCCGUGUGCACCCUGCACGGGGAGCAGGUGGCUCAGGAGGAGGGGGCAGAAGGCGAUGCUCCCUGAGCAGGCGCCCCUCUGGCCCGGCCCUCUGGCCCGCCUGCUCCCCGCCAGGCGCCCUAACACCCACACGCUGGGCAACUUCGAGCAUGGAUGGCAGGAAGUGGCCAUGCUCUGAGCCUGUAGGGCCUGCGAGAACGCGUGGGAACGUGCAAGCAGCCCCAGCCGGAGUCAGACAGCACAUUCCAAGCCUUAUCUGAAGGCGGAGCGGCAGAUAAGGGCAUCUUGCGGUGCCCUGGACGCCUGCUAUCCAAGACACAAUCGUGAAGAAUCUUCCUCAUUUUCUUUAACCACAUAAGAGGACAAAAUGUAACCACUUUUUAUUUGUUUCCUGGCCUGCUCAGCCCACUCACAGUUGUGGACUGUAAAACAAGCGACAACCAGGAGGACCUGCGGAAGAGCCCCGGGAGCGCGGUGUGCCCUGCGGGGCUGUGAGCGUGACCACGGCCCCGGCCCGUGCCGGGCGGGUGUGUCUAGUCCACCACGUGCGUGGACACGGCACUCCAUGCAGCCACGGCCGAUCAAUCCCAGCCAACCCGCAGGAUGAAGCCCUGAAUCAACUAAGACCCUGAAUCAACGAAGGUCAGCGAGGAGAGGUGACUUACCAGAUGAGGCUGGACCUGCGCCCUGGCGCCCGCGGAGGGGACGGCGGUGGCAGGGAGCGGUGGCCAGGGCUGCAGACCAGCAAGUGGCCACUGGACGUGGCGCUUCUGGUACAAAACAGAGCCGCGUGCUUUUCUCAGUAAGGACAAUGGGCUUCGGGGGCUCUGGCCACGGUCGCGCUCCUGCCCCUGGCUCUGACCCCACUGCUAGAGAGCAUGGGGAUCUAAGCCGUCUUCAGAGAAAGUAACAAAAUAUCAGCUUUACUUUGCAGCUUUGGGUCCUGGCCGCUCUCGGGUCUGGACAUUUUAAAGUCUAAAUGAAGUGGGGGUUUGCAAACCCCAGCCCCCAACCCCGAGAUCAGGAGGGAGGCACUGAGCUGAGAGGGGCUUCAGCAGCGGCCUGAGAGGGCGUCUCUUCAGGGUCUGCCCCUCCCUUCAGGAGCCCUCCUCUGGCCGUCCUCCGGGAGCGCCAGGACAUCAGGGCCUCCUCUCCGGCCCUCCGCACGUCAGACUCUGCCCUCUCUCUCAUCCCCUGCCGUCCAGCCUUGGGCACGUGGACACGGAUGUGCCGAAACCCCUCUCCUGGGAGCCCCCAGUCUGGGGUGGGCUGCAGAGAACCAGUCAGGGGAAAAUCAGAGCAAUGGGUUUCUUCACCACUGCCAAAACCCCGAAGCAGCCAAGAUGCCCUCCAGCAGGUGCAUGGAUAAACACCGUGGUCCAUCCACACAAUGGAACAGUAUUUGCACGAAGCAGAAACGAGCCCUCGAGUCACGAAAGAUAAGCAGGAAAUGGAAAAUGCUACGGAUGUGCACACAGCCCUGCCUGGCGCUCGGCACUGUCCCACGCUGGGCGUGAACGGGACGCCUGCCGUUAGAGACCCCACACGGGCAGCAGCUUCCAGAAACACCCUUGACAAGAUCUUCACCAUCAUCUGAGCAGCACCUGCAAAGUGUGGCGUCUCCAAAGAGGAGGGGGUGCAGAGCGUUCCAGGGCAGCACGUGGGAAGCACGGCCCGUUUUUGUGUCUGCGAUGACCGCCUCUCCCGAGUCUCCGAGCUCCAGGCAGCAGCCCAGCACCCUGCCUGAACCCCAAGGUCAGCUCGCAAAUCACUGCUGAGUGAGUGAGUGAGGAUGUCCCGCGGGGGGCUGACCCUCUCUGUGUCUGGCCUGGGGAGGCACUCUCAUGGGCAGGCGGGAAGGAGGUAAGAACUGUGGCCUCACCAGGUGAGACACCUGCCAGGACACAGCCUUGGGGUGUCCAGCAUCUCGGGGCUCCUGUGGGGUGGGGUGGGAGAGGGGACGAAAG